rnacentral:ncRNA from 17 species
UUGAUAGCUCAGUUGGGAGAGCGUCAGACUGAAGAUCUGAAGGUCCUGUUUUCGAUUCACAGU